rnacentral:rRNA from 1 species
UACAGAGGGUGCGAGCGUUAAUCGGAAUUACUGGGCGUAAAGCGCGCGUAGACGGUUUUGUAAGUCAGAUGUGAAAUCCCUGGGCUCAACCUGGGAACUGCAUUUGAAACUGCAUGGCUAGAGUAUGGAAGAGGGAAGUGGAAUUUCCGGCGUAGCGGUGAAAUGCGUAGAUAUCGGGAGGAACACCUGUGGCGAAAGCGGCGCACUGGACCAUAACUGACGCUGAGGCGCGAAAGCUAGGGGAGCAAACAGG